rnacentral:rRNA from 1 species
AUUGAACGCUGGCGGCAGGCUUAACACAUGCAAGUCGAGCGAGCGGCGGACGGGUGAGUAAUGUCUGGGAAACUGCCUGAUGGAGGGGGAUAACUACUGGAAACGGUAGCUAAUACCGCAUACCAUCAGAUGUGCCCAGAUGGGAUUAGCGAGGAGGUGGGGUAAUGGCUCACCUGGGCGACGAUCCCUAGCUGGGCUGAGAGGAUGACCGGCCACACUGGAACUGAGCCACGGUCCAGACUCCUACGUGAGGCAGCAGUGGGGAAUAUUGCACAAUGGUCGCAAGCCUGAUGCAGCCAUGCCGCGUGUGUGAAGAAGGCCUUCGGGUUGUAAAGCACUUUCAUCGAGGAUGCGUUACUCGCAGAAGAAGCACCGGCUAACUUCGUGCCAGCAGCCGCGGUAAUAC